UACGUAGGGACCGAGCGUUGUCCGGAAUCAUUGGGCGUAAAGAGCGUGUAGGCGGCUAUUUAAGUCCUGCGUGAAAUCCUGCGGCUCAACCGCAGACGGUCGUGGGAAACUGGAUGGCUAGAGUGCGGGAGAGGAGAGUGGAAUUCCUGGUGUAGCGGUGAAAUGCGCAGAUAUCAGGAAGAACACCCGUGGCGAAGGCGGCUCUCUGGGACGGUACUGACGCUGAGACGCGAAAGCGUGGGGAGCGAACAGG
rnacentral:rRNA from 1 species